rnacentral:rRNA from 1 species
UACGUAGGGGGCAAGCGUUGUCCGGAAUCAUUGGGCGUAAAGAGCGUGUAGGCGGCCAGAAAAGUCCGCUGUGAAAACUCGAGGCUCAACUUCGAGCUGUCGGUGGAAACUUUCUGGCUAGAGUCCGGAAGAGGAGAAUGGAAUUCCUGGUGUAGCGGUGAAAUGCGCAGAUAUCAGGAAGAACACCCGUGGCGAAGGAGGUUCUCUGGGACGGUACUGACGCUGAGACGCGAAAGCGUGGGGAGCGAACAGG